rnacentral:rRNA from 1 species
UACGGAGGAUCCAAGCGUUAUCCGGAUUUAUUGGGUUUAAAGGGCGCGUAGGCGGUCUCUUAAGCGUGUGGUGAAAGCCCGGGGCUCAACUCCGGGUCGGCCGUGCGAACUGGGGGACUGGAGCUUGUCAGAGGCAGGCGGAAUUCCGGGUGUAGCGGUGGAAUGCGUAGAGAUCCGGAAGAACACCGGUGGCGAAGGCGGCUUCCUGGACCGACACUGACGCUGAGGCGCGAAAGCUAGGGGAGCAAACGGG